UGCCAGCAGCCGCGGUAAUACGGAGGGUCCAAGCGUUGUUCGGAAUUACUGGGCGUAAAGCGAGCGUAGGCGGCUUGGCAAGUCGGGUGUGAAAUCCCAGGGCCCAACCCUGGAACUGCAUCCGAAACUGCCUGGCUAGAGUCCCGGAGAGGAUGGCGGAAUUUCCGGUGUAGAGGUGAAAUUCGUAGAUAUCGGAAGGAACACCAGUGGCGAAGGCGGCCAUCUGGACGGUGACUGACGCUGAGGCUCGAAAGCGUGGGGAGCAAACAGGAUUAGAUA
rnacentral:rRNA from 1 species